UGGCGCGAGGCGCGAACGACGAGGUCAAACCGCAUCAAGAACGUUGAGAGAGUGUGCGCUCAGAACGUCUCGCCGCCAAGCACCGACAAUUCUUCACCGCCACCUUUCGUUCAAAGCCAGGAGUGAAUCCUCUCCCGGCAUCAUGGAAACAGCUAGGCGAGUGGUUGGACCCUUGGUGGUGUUUCUCUAUCUCGGACAUCUCCUGGCGACGAUACCGUCCAUCGACACUUCCAACUGCAGUGACACAAAGGCGAUGGUGUAUACCAAGUUCCAGCCUCCUCUGUCCAUCAGCGGGCGGAAACGGAGGGACGCCAGCGGUCUAGAGGCGGCUGCGAUGAUGUUGCACCGAGGUGUCGGAACCAUGCUGACGUCAACAGAGAUACCCCAACGUACACGUGAUGAAUCUUGAU